rnacentral:snRNA from 1 species
GGAUGUGAGGGCGAUCUGGCUGCGACAUCUGUCACCCCAUUGAUCGCCAGGGUUGAUUCAGCUGAUCUGGCUGGCUAGGCGGGUGUCCCCUUCCUCCCUCACCGCUCCAUGUGCGUCCCUCCCAAAGCUGCGCGCUCGGUGGAAGAGGACGAUGUCCCAGGUAUAGAAGGAGUGUACCGAGAUCUCCAGUCUUCGGUCCUGGGUAUACGAUAGCUAUGCUCCCCUGCUAGAACCUCCAAACAAGCUCAAGGAUUUAUUUGGCAUUUCUUAACUGCAAGUCAUGAUGGCAAUAGAAAAGUUGAAAUUGAAAACUGAGUU